GAUGAACGCUGGCGGCGUGCCUAAUACAUGCAAGUCGAGCGAACAGAUGAGGAGCUUGCUCCUCUGACGUUAGCGGCGGACGGGUGAGUAACACGUGGAUAACCUACCUAUAAGACUGGGAUAACUUCGGGAAACCGGAGCUAAUACCGGAUAAUAUAUUGAACCGCAUGGUUCAAUAGUGAAAGACGGUUUUGCUGUCACUUAUAGAUGGAUCCGCGCCGCAUUAGUUAGUUGGUAAGGUAACGGCUUACCAAGGCAACGAUGCGUAGCCGACCUGAGAGGGUGAUCGGCCACACUGGAACUGAGACACGGUCCAGACUCCUACGGGAGGCAGCAGUAGGGAAUCUUCCGCAAUGGGCGAAAGCCUGACGGAGCAACGCCGCGUGAGUGAUGAAGGUCUUCGGAUCGUAAAACUCUGUUAUUAGGGAAGAACAAAUGUGUAAGUAACUAUGCACGUCUUGACGGUACCUAAUCAGAAAGCCACGGCUAACUACGUG
rnacentral:rRNA from 1 species